rnacentral:rRNA from 1 species
AGCAGCCGCGGUAAUUCCAGCUCCAAUAGCGUAUAUUAAAGUUGUUGCAGUUAAAAAGCUCGUAGUUGAAUUUCGGGGUCAGUAGGUCGGUCGUGCCACUGGUAUGAACUGGUUUUACUGAUUCCUCCCUCUUGAAGAACUGUAAUGCCAUUAAUUUGGUGUUGCAGGGAAUCAGGACUGUUACUUUGAAAAAAUUAGAGUGUUUAAAGCAGGCUUUAGCUUGAAUACAUUAGCAUGGAAUAAUGAAAUAGGACGUUUGAUCCUAUUUUGUUGGUUUCUAGGAUUGACGUAAUGAUUAAUAGGGAUAGUUGGGGGCAUUAGUAUUCAAUUGUCAGAGGUGAAAUUCUUGGAUUUAUUGAAGACUAACUACUGCGAAAGCAUUUGCCAAGGAUGUUUUCAUUAAUCAAGAACGAAAGUUAGGGGAUCGAAGACGAUCAGAUACCGUCGUAGUCUUAACCAUAAAUUAUGCCGACUAGGGAUCGGAUGAUGUUAAUUUUUUAAUGACUCA